rnacentral:rRNA from 1 species
AGCGAACGCUGGCGGCAGGCCUAACACAUGCAAGUCGAACGGAUCCUUCGGGAUUAGUGGCGGACGGGUGAGUAACACGUGGGAACGUGCCCUUUGGUUCGGAACAACUCAGGGAAACUUGAGCUAAUACCGGAUGUGCCCUUCGGGGGAAAGAUUUAUCGCCAUUGGAGCGGCCCGCGUCUGAUUAGCUAGUUGGUGAGGUAACGGCCCACCAGGGCGACGAUCAGUAGCUGGUCUGAGAGGAUGAUCAGCCACACUGGGACUGAGACACGGCCCAGACUCCUACGGGAGGCAGCAGUGGGGAAUCUUGCGCAAUGGGCGAAAGCCUGACGCAGCCAUGCCGCGUGAAUGAUGAAGGUCUUAGGAUUGUAAAAUUCUUUCAGCGGGGACGAUAAUGACGGUACCCGCAGAAGAAGCUCCGGCUAACUUCGUG